UACGGGGGGAGCAAGCGUUGUUCGGAUUUACUGGGCGUAAAGGGCGCGUAGGCGGUCAGCACAAGUCAGUUGUGAAAUCUCCGGGCUUAACUCGGAAAGGUCAACUGAUACUGUGCGACUAGAGUGCGGAAGGGGCAACUGGAAUUCUCGGUGUAGCGGUGAAAUGCGUAGAUAUCGAGAGGAACACCUGCGGCGAAGGCGGGUUGCUGGGCCGACACUGACGCUGAUGCGCGAAAGCCAGGGGAGCAGACGGG
rnacentral:rRNA from 1 species